rnacentral:ribozyme from 1 species
UGACAUUAGUUCCUUUCUCGUUCUCUCUGAAGUCAGCAACGAUCUUCGAAUAGGAGCCAUCUUCUCAGGUGACACCCCCCUCUCUCUAUCUCUGUCUCUUAGGCUAACACAAACAUGCUUGUUUUA